rnacentral:rRNA from 1 species
UACGGAGGGUGCAAGCGUUAAUCGGAAUUACUGGGCGUAAAGCGAGUGCAGGCGGUUGCGUAUGUCGGAUGUGAAAGCCCCGGGCUCAACCUGGGAAUUGCAUUCGAAACUGCGUAACUAGAAUAUGGUAGAGGAAGACGGAAUUCCACGUGUAGCGGUGAAAUGCGUAGAUAUGUGGAGGAACACCAAUGGCGAAGGCAGUCUUCUGGGCCAAUAUUGACGCUGAGGCUCGAAAGCGUGGGUAGCAAACAGG